GUAGAGACGCGGCGUACGGCUCAGUAACAUGUGGCUAACCUACCCUUAGGACGGGGACAACCCCGGGAAACUGGGGCUAAUACCCGAUAGGUGAGGAGGCCUGGAAUGGUUCCUAGUCGAAAAGGCGUUGAAACCAUGCUUUUCGACGUCACCUAAGGAUGGGGCCGCGCCCGAUCAGGUUGUUGGUGGGGUAACGGCUCACCAGGCCUAUAACCGGUACGGGCCGUGAGAGCGGGAGCCCGGAGAUGGGCACUGAGACAAGGGCCCAGGCCCUACGGGGCGCAGCAGUCGCGAAAACUCCGCAAUGCGCGAAAGCGUGACGGGGCUACCCCGAGUGCCGUCCGCUGAGGAUGGCUUUUCCCCGGUGUAAUGAGCCGGGGGAAUAAGGAGAGGGCAAGUCUGGUGUCAGCCGCCGCGGUAAUACCAGCUCUCCGAGUGGUAGGGAUGAUUAUUGGGCUUAAAGCGUCCGUAGCCGGCUUAGCAAGUCUCCUGUUAAAUUCAGCGACCUAAUCGUUGAGCCGCGGGAGAUACUACUAGGCUAGGAGGCGGGAGAGGCCGACGGUAUUCUCGGGGUAGGGGUGAAAUCCUAUAAUCCCGGGAG
rnacentral:rRNA from 1 species